CAUUACUCAUGUGUUUGUAGUGAUGCUGGUGUAAAGAAACCUGAGCUGCCUGUUGUAUAAAAGGAUAGCACACACCAUUAUGAACAGUUACUUUCUGAGAUACUAUCUAUUAGGACUUCAACAUAUGAGAUUUUUGGGGACACAGUUUAACCCAUAACAGAGAACAAGACAAAAUUGGUCUCACUUCGUCACCCAGCCUGGAGUGCAGUGGCGAGAUCAUAGCUUACUAUAACCUCAACAUCCUAGGCUCAAAAGAUCCUCCUCUCUCAGCCUCUCAAGUAGCUGGGACUUCA